AUUGAACGCUGGCGGCAUGCUUUACACAUGCAAGUCGAACGGUAACAGCACUUCGGUGGCUGACGAGUGGCGAACGGGUGAGUAAUACAUCGGAACGUGCCUAGUAGUGGGGGAUAACUACUCGAAAGAGUAGCUAAUACCGCAUGAGAUCUAGGGAUGAAAGCAGGGGACCUUCUGGCCUUGCGCUACUAGAGCGGCUGAUGGCAGAUUAGGUAGUUGGUGGGAUAAAAGCUUACCAAGCCGACGAUCUGUAGCUGGUCUGAGAGGACGACCAGCCACACUGGGACUGAGACACGGCCCAGACUCCUACGGGAGGCAGCAGUGGGGAAUUUUGGACAAUGGGCGCAAGCCUGAUCCAGCAAUGCCGCGUGCAGGAUGAAGGCCUUCGGGUUGUAAACUGCUUUUGUACGGAACGAAAAGCACUCUGCUAAUACAGGAGGGUCAUGACGGUACCGUAAGAAUAAGCACCGGCUAACUACGUG
rnacentral:rRNA from 1 species